GGUGGUUCUUGCCUGGAGUUCCAGCUACUUGAGAGGCUGAGGCAGGAAAAUCCCUUAAGCCCAAGAGUUGGAGACCAGCUUGGUCUAUAUGGGGUGGGCGUCACCCCACAGAUGCUGUCCCUCUCUCAUGCUGUGUUUUUGACUUCCUCUCCCUGUGGCCCUUGGAGUAGCGGCGCAGCUGGGAGCUCAGAGUGAGGCCCAGGCUGAGGGAGGGUGCUACUCUAACUGGUCCCAAGCUGGGAUGACGCAUGGUGACAUGGAAGGACUGUCGUGGGACAGUAGACAGGACUGUGGACAGGAUGACUGAAAAAUACCAGUUCUGGAUGAGAUGGUACACUUGGGAGGCUGAGGCAGCAGGAUCUCUGUGAGUGUGAGGCCGGCCUGGGCUCCAUAGUGAGUUCAAGGCCAGCCUGAACUACACAUCAAGACCCUGCCCCCCCUCUAAAUCCCUAUUUCUCCUACGAGGUCUGAGAAUAAAGUAGUUAAUUAGCUGAAAAAGACAGAGGGCCCUGCAAAGACAGGUGAAAUAUUAAGGCCUCUCAGCCCUUUCACGUGCCACGCAUUAACCUGUCCCUCACCCCCCGCAGGGAUUACUCAUUAAUGGGAAGCCACUUGGUCCCCUGGGGCCUGCAGGACAGAGGGCUCCCCAGGGGACACUGUUUGGCAUGAGGGCAACGUGGACGCAGCGCAGGCUCCCGGCUGGCCUGGGCGGAGCUGGUGGGCAUCUGGGCGGGAUCCAAACCUGAGUGGGCCUGGCUCUGGUGACUGCACAUCACCCCCACCGUCCCAGACCAGUGCGGGACCCAGGGAAGAGACGCCUGCGCCCUGCGAGGGGAGCUGCUACCCAGGCUGGCCAGGCUGUGGGGAGUCACCGCCCAGUGACCCAGAAAAGCCAAGCCCGGUGGGAUGUCCACGCUCUUGGGAGCCGCCUCUGCUCUGGGGCCUUGCAGACUCUGGGAGCCCGGCAAGGGACACAGGAGGUCUAGGGGUGGCGCCCACCCGUGACCACCCCGUCCUCCUCUCACCCCGACUCACCCUCUGCUCCCACCCCCAGGGCAGAAGCUCACCCUGCACCCCAACUCCUGACUGCCCAGAUACCUGUUGCACCCCGAAUCUCGGCUGCACCCGAUACCUGCUGCACGCACAUCCUGGGCUGCACCCUGUCUCCGGCCCGCACCCCAUACUCUGCCGCCCGCGGUCCCCCGCCUCCCCGGCCCCUCCUUGCCCCUCCCCGUCCCCCCACCCGGGCCUGCGCGCUCGCGACGCCAUGGGCAGUGGCAGCAGCCGGAGCUUCGGGGCGCAGAGGCGGCGGGGACCCCACAGCCCCGCGGCCC
rnacentral:lncRNA from 1 species